ACGAACGCUGGCGGCGUGCUUAACACAUGCAAGUCGAGCGGUAAGGCCCUUUCGGGGUACGACGAGCGGCGAACGGGUGAGUAACACGUGGGUGACCUCGCCCUCAGCUCUGGGAGUAAGCCGUCGGGAAACCGGGUCUAAUACUGGAUAUGACUCCAUGACGCAUGUUGGUGGGGUAGGAAAGCCUUGUGCGGCUGAGGAUGGGCCCGCCGGCCUAUCAGCUUGUUGGGUGGGGUGAGGCCUACCAAGGCGACGACGGGUAGCCGGCCUGAGAGGGCGACCGGCCACACUGGGACUGAGACA
rnacentral:rRNA from 1 species